rnacentral:tRNA from 1 species
GCCCCCAUAGCUUAGUGGUAAAGCACUGGUCUCUUAAACCAUGUACCUAGGUUCGAUUCCUAGUGGGGGCA